rnacentral:pre_miRNA from 1 species
CAUGCACCAGUGGGGUCCCUCAGUCUGGCCUGUGCCCGAUCGCAAUCUGGUACCCCUCGUAGGAUGUUGGAGAGUCGGUUUCAGCCUGAUCCCCACAGGCCAGGCUGAGGGACUCCACUGGUGCGCA